UACGUAGGGUGCAAGCGUUAAUCGGAAUUACUGGGCGUAAAGCGUGCGCAGGCGGUUAUGUAAGACAGAUGUGAAAUGCCCGGGCUUAACCUGGGAACUGCAUUUGUGACUGCAUGGCUAGAGUUUGGCAGAGGGGGGUAGAAUUCCACGUGUAGCAGUGAAAUGCGUAGAGAUCAUGGAGGAAGACCAGUGGCGAAGGCGGGUCUCUGGACAGUUCCUGACACUGAGGCAACGAAGGCCCAGGGGAGCAAACGGG
rnacentral:rRNA from 1 species